rnacentral:rRNA from 1 species
GACGAACGCUGGCGGCGUGCUUAACACAUGCAAGUCGAACGAAGUGGCGGACGGGUGAGUAACGCGUAAUCAACCUGCCCUUCAGAGGGGGACAACAGUUGGAAACGACUGCUAAUACCGCAUACUGAAGGAGGGGAUUGCGUGGGAUAAGAUAGUUGGGGGGGUAACGGCCGACCAAGGCGAUGAUCAGUAGCCGGCCUGGAGAGAGGAACGGCCACAUUGGGACUUGGACCCGUCCCAGAAGCCUACUGGAGGCAGCAGUGGGGAAUCUUCCGCAAUGGACGAAAGUCUGACGGAGCAACGCCGCCGGAGUGAUGACGGCCUUCGGGUUGGAAAGCUCUGUUAAUCGGGACGCGGUACCGGAAUAGAAAGCCACGGCUAACUACGUGCCAGCAGCCGCGGUAAUAC